rnacentral:tRNA from 1 species
AGUAUAGUGGUGAGUAUUCCUGCCUGUCACGCGGGUGACCCGGGUUUGAUCCCCGG